rnacentral:rRNA from 1 species
CCUACGGGAGGCAGCAGUGAGGAAUAUUGGUCAAUGGGCGGGAGCCUGAACCAGCCAAGUCGCGUGAGGGAAGACGGUCCUAUGGAUUGUAAACCUCUUUAGGCGGGGAGCAAUGCCGGGCACGCGUGUCCGGAGGGAGAGUACCCGCAGAAUAAGCAUCGGCUAACUCCGUGCCAGCAGCCGCGGUAAUACGGAGGGUGCGAGCGUUAAUCGGAAUUACUGGGCGCAAAGCGCACGUAGGCUGUUGUGUAAGUCAGGGGUGAAAUCCCACGGCUCAACCGUGGAACUGCCCUUGAUACUGCAUG